rnacentral:lncRNA from 1 species
GUAGAGAGCCACACGGAACGGAAGCAGCGGCGAAACGAAAUUGAAAAAGCGACAAGGUGAUGUUUGUUGCUGGUGUAACCAGCGCCCCAGCGCCCCAACACCUCAGCGCGCCAUCGCCCAUACAUACCCCUUGCAGUAGGGUUUGAUGGUUUUGCACAAGGCAGGAAUGGUAAAUGGAAUAUGCCAUAAAUAAGAGUAAAAAGUUUAAGUUUGCAACUAAAAGUAUUAAAUGCAAGUAUUUGUUUCUUUUGGUUUCCUUGGGUAUCUGCUGCUUCGAUCAGCGGUGAUCUGCGAAUAUUUUGUUGUUGUUGUGUCUACAUGGAAAUUACAGCACGCACCAAGCAGCACGCAGCCCGUGGCCAUAGCAGGACACACAUAUAAAAUGC